GGAGGUUUUAGCUUAAUUAAAGUGCCUGAGUUGCAAUUAGGAGAUGUGGUGUGACUACAGACCUU
rnacentral:tRNA from 1 species